GGGAUAAGAGGAAAAUAUGAACAAGGAUGAAAUGCGAUGAAAAGCUACAUCACCCGGCUCAUAACCGGGCGGUCCCAGGUUCGAAUCCUGGUGGGCCCACCA
rnacentral:tRNA from 1 species